rnacentral:lncRNA from 1 species
GGGCUAAAUUAAAUACUAAAAGUUGUUUGAAGAAAUAAUUAGUUAAGAACCUACCCAUAAGUGUAUAUGGGUUGAUCGAGCCAUCCUCGGGCCUAUAUGUAGUCUGUGGAUUCUAGUAUCUGCUAAGAAAUUAAGGUAAUUUCUCAAAUUGAAGGUAGAAGCUACUAAUUCGUAUAAAAUAGUAGGAGGACCUUUAGACAAAAGUUC